rnacentral:lncRNA from 1 species
CCUCUCUCCCAAAUAUAAUUCAGCACCAAGGCUGAACACUCACCAAAGAAGAGAUGGUUCUCUUCUGAUCACAUGCCAAAGAGAUGGCAAUCCACCCUUGAUCCUCACAGCCAUAAACUAGGUUCGGCCCCUCUCUCCUUGCUCUUUCUCUUGGUGGAAUAACAAAGUUCUUUGUCACACCAAAAACAAGCACUUUUAGGCUUGCCGAACAAGAGAAAU